rnacentral:tRNA from 1 species
GGCGCAUGGCUUAGUGGUUAGAGUAUUCGGCUCACGAUCGUAAGGUCCAGGGUUCGAUUCACGGUGACGUCU